rnacentral:ncRNA from 2 species
ACACUCGCGCACGCUUCAGGUGCUCGCCCCCUCGUCGCCACGCGGGGGCAGUUCAACGGGAAACAGGGAGCCGCACCGACGCCAGGUCGGGACGGGCCAACCUGUGCUGCCCCCGCAACGGUAAGCGACGCGAAUCCGCAUCCCGGUUUCGCAAGGCCGGUCAACCAGCCACUGGGUCCGCAUGGGCCCGGGAAGGCGGCCGUGCUGAGGUCGCCAGCCCGGAUACCGGCCUGGACGCGGGCGGCGUG